GGCCGGUUGGCCCAAUGGCAAGGCGUCUGACUACGAGUCGCUGGUCUCAAGCUGGGGAUCAGAGGUUGUUGCAAUCAGGAGAUUCUGGGUUCGACCCCCAGGCUGGUCA